GGAUGCGAUCAUACCAGCACUAAAGCACCGGAUCCCAUCAGAACUCCGAAGUUAAGCGUGCUUGGGCGAGAGUAGUACUAGGAUGGGUGACCUCCUGGGAAGUCCGCGUGUUGCAUUCC
rnacentral:rRNA from 1 species